rnacentral:rRNA from 2 species
GAGUUUGAUCCUGGCUCAGAAUGAACGCUGGCGGCAGGCCUAACACAUGCAAGUCGAACGGAGUUAUAUUGUAGCUUGCUAUGGUAUAACUUAGUGGCAGACGGGUGAGUAAUGUAUAGGAAUCUACCUAGUAGUACGGAAUAAUUGUUGGAAACGGCAACUAAUACCGUAUACGCCCUACGGGGGAAAAAUUUAUUGCUAUUAGAUGAGCCUAUAUUAGAUUAGUUAGUUGGUGAGGUAAAGGCUUACCAAGACAAUGAUCUAUAGCUGAUCUGAGAGGAUGAUCAGCCACACUGGAACUGAGAUACGGUCCAGACUCCUACGGGAGGCAGCAGUGGGGAAUAUUGGACAAUGGGCGAAAGCCUGAUCCAGCCAUGCCGCAUGAGUGAAGAAGGCCUUCGGGUUGUAAAGCUCUUUUAGUGAGGAAGAUAAUGACGGUACUCACAGAAGAAGUCCUGGCUAACUCCGUGCCAGCAGCCGCGGUAAUACGGAGAGG